rnacentral:rRNA from 1 species
AGUGAGCGCUGGCGGUAGGCCUAACACAUGCAAGUCGAACGGCAGCACAGUAAGAGCUUGCUCUUACGGGUGGCGAGUGGCGGACGGGUGAGGAAUACAUCGGAAUCUACUUUUUCGUGGGGGAUAACGGAGGGAAACUUACGCUAAUACCGCAUACGACCUACGGGUGAAAGCAGGGGAUCUUCGGACCUUGCGCGAUUGAAUGAGCCGAUGUCGGAUUAGCUAGUUGGCGGGGUAAAGGCCCACCAAGGCGACGAUCCGUAGCUGGUCUGAGAGGAUGAUCAGCCACACUGGAACUGAGACACGGUCCAGACUCCUACGGGAGGCAGCAGUGGGGAAUAUUGGACAAAGGGCGCAAGCCUGAUCCAGCCAUACCGCGUGGGUGAAGAAGGCCUUCGGGUUGUAAAGCCCUUUUGUUGGGAAAGAAAAGCAGCAGGUUAAUACCCCGCUGUUCUGACGGUACCCAAAGAAUAAGCACCGGCUAACUUCGUG